CAAAGCUAAUUUGGAACUCACACUGAUUAAACGUUGCUUUACUACUAUACCUUCAGCUCAACGGAGCUCAACGGAGAAAUUAUCGACGGCGAAGAGCGCCGCCGUGCCGUUAUUGAUUUACUGCUCAAUUGUACCUACCGCCGUUAAGCCUAUCCGUUACUCCACCGGAUUUCUUCUUUCUCCGAUAGUUUGUAGUUGCGGCAAUACAAUCAACAUUCAUACUAAAAAUUUCCCGUAACCUUGAGCUUGGAUGACCGAGAGCAAGAAGAGGCACUUGGAAUAGCUUUAGCUGCAUGGAGGCGGCUGAGGAUUCUUGGGUUUCAUUUGAUCUGCAGAAGGACUGGGGCCAAGCCUGAGUUCAAGUUCAGGAAAUGAAGAGGGAAUCAAGAUAGGGAAAUCGAACCUUCACCAA